GGAUGGGUGGCCGAGUGGCUGAAGGCGCUCCCCUGCUAAGGGAGUAUAUGGUGUUGAGCCGUAUCGUGGGUUCGAAUCCCACCCCAUCCGCCA
rnacentral:tRNA from 1 species